AUUGAACGCUGGCGGCAGGCUUAACACAUGCAAGUCGAGCGAGCGGCGGACGGGUGAGUAAUGUCUGGGAAACUGCCUGAUGGAGGGGGAUAACUACUGGAAACGGUAGCUAAUACCGCAUACCAUCGGAUGUGCCCAGAUGGGAUUAGCUAGUAGGUGGGGGAAUGUCUCACCUAGGCGACGAUCCCUAGCUGGUCUGAGAGGAUGACCAGCCACACUGGAACUGAGACACGGUCCAGACUCCUACGGGAGGCAGCAGUGGGGAAUAUUGCACAAUGGGCGCAAGCCUGAUGCAGCCAUGCCGCGUGUGUGAAGAAGGCCUUCGGGUUGUAAAGCACUUUCAGCGAGGAGGCGUUACUCGCAGAAGAAGCACCGGCUAACUCCGUGCCAGCAGCCGCGGUAAUUC
rnacentral:rRNA from 1 species